rnacentral:rRNA from 1 species
GACGAACGCUGGCGGCGUGCUUAACACAUGCAAGUCGAACGAGUGGCGUACGGGUGAGUAAUGUCUGGGAACCUGCCUGAUGGAGGGGGAUAACUACUGGAAACGGUAGCUAAUACUGCUUCCCCUCAGAGGUGCCCAGAUGGGAUUAGCUUGUUGGUGGGGUAACGGCUCACCAAGGCGACGAUCCCUAGCUGGUCUGAGAGGAUGACAAGCAACACUGGAACUGAGACACGGUCCAGACUCCGACGGGAGGCAGCAGUGGGGAAUAUUGCACAAUGGGCGCAAGCCUGAUGCAGCCAUGCCGCGUGAAUGAAGAAGGCCUUCGGGUUGUAAAGUACUUUCAGCGGGGAGGCGUUACCCGCAGAAGAAGCACCGGCUAACUCCGUGCCAGCAGCCGCGGUAAUUC